UCUGAUCACGCAUGUUCUUCAGCACAGCCUCUGGAUCCUGUAGUGAUCUGUCUGGGAGCAGCUUUAGGAGCGUGUGUGGUUGUGAUCUCUGUCCAAACCAUUUUAUUCUGUAAAAGGAGAAACUGUGAACACUGCAGUGCAGAGAAACCUAAAGACUCAGUCAAAGAGAAGACGACCAAACAGGAUGAAAACGCUGAGGAGCUGAAUUAUGCAGCCUUAAAUUUCCAUGAAAGGAAAACUAAAAGAGGAAGAGGGAAACGAGAACAGCCACAAGAAGACACUCUGUAUUCUGCAGUGAGGGGCUCCUCUGUUAAUGACCGCAGAGUAACGCGUUAACUGUAACUCAUGAAUUCUCUUAUUGGUGAAUGGUAUUUAUUACUAAUGGAAGUGAAGCUUAGAGAAGUUCUACUCACAGUGCAUCAUCAUCUGCACAUUCAGUGUGGUGGAGGAGGUGGAGUCAGGUACUCAAAAAAACAAAAUAAAACUGCAUGUCAUGUGUUUGUGUGUUCAUAACUAUAGAUAUCAGUAAUACGCAACUAUCAGUGAGAGGAGGGUCUUUAUGAGACGGUCAGUUAUUAGAAUAAAUGUUUGUGUAAGAAAGAACUGAACUGGUUUACUCUUCCAUGUUUUUAUUACUACAUAAUUUUCUCCUAAAUUAAAACUCUUGUCUUCUUUUAAUUUUUACUGUCUGCAGUUUGCUGAAAUACUUCAGACAUGCACUUUAUUUAUUAUUUUGCCAACAUAUCUGUCUUCUAAUGCA